rnacentral:snRNA from 1 species
UGGUGUAUGUAUUCUGGCUGCAACAUCUGUCACCCAACUGAUCAUUAAUGUUGGUUUGACUGAUUUGGCUGGAUGGGGGUGGAUUGUCACCCUCCUUCCUCACUGCUCCAUAUGCAUCUUUCCUAAAGCUGUGCUCUAGGUUCAAGAGGACCACGGCUAAAAGAACAGCAAAAACCGAAAGAUCAUGCUAGGGGAAAAUCAGAUGAAACAAUAAAGAAAGAACAUCCAGGACCU